AGAGUUUGAUCAUGGCUCAGGAUGAACGCCGGCGGUGUGCCUAAUACAUGCAAGUCGAGCGCACUGGCCCAACUGAUAUGACGUGCUUGCACUGAUUUGACGAUGGAUUACCAGUGAGCGGCGGACGGGUGAGUAACACGUGGGCAACCUGCCCUGGAGCGGGGGAUAACAUCUGGAAACAGGUGCUAAUACCGCAUGACUACUAAAACCACCUGGUUUUAGUAUAAAAGAAGGCUUCGGCUUUCACUCUAGGAUGGGCCCGCGGUGCAUUAGCUAGUUGGUAAGGUAACGGCUUACCAAGGCGAUGAUGCAUAGCCGAGUUGAGAGACUGAUCGGCCACAAUGGAACUGAGACACGGUCCAUACUCCUACGGGAGGCAGCAGUAGGGAAUCUUCCACAAUGGGCGCAAGCCUGAUGGAGCAACACCGCGUGAGUGAAGAAGGGUUUCGGCUCGUAAAGCUCUGUUGUUGAAGAAGAACGUGCGUGAGAGUAACUGUUCACGCAGUGACGGUAUUCAACCAGAAAGUCACGGCUAACUACGUGCCAGCAGCCGCGGUAAUACGUAGGUGGCAAGCGUUAUCCGGAUUUAUUGGGCGUAAAGCGAGCGCAGGCGGUUGCUUAGGUCUGAUGUGAAAGCCUUCGGCUUAACCGAAGAAGUGCAUCGGAAACCGGGCGACUUGAGUGCAGAAGAGGACAGUGGAACUCCAUGUGUAGCGGUGGAAUGCGUAGAUAUAUGGAAGAACACCAGUGGCGAAGGCGGCUGUCUGGUCUGCAACUGACGCUGAGGCUCGAAAGCAUGGGUAGCGAACAGGAUUAGAUACCCUGGUAGUCCAUGCCGUAAACGAUGAGUGCUAGGUGUUGGAGGGUUUCCGCCCUUCAGUGCCGGAGCUAACGCAUUAAGCACUCCGCCUGGGGAGUACGACCGCAAGGUUGAAACUCAAAGGAAUUGACGGGGGCCCGCACAAG
rnacentral:rRNA from 2 species